rnacentral:rRNA from 1 species
CAGCAGCCGCGGGAAUACGGAGGGAGCUAGCGUUGUUCGGAAUUACUGGGCGUAAAGCGCACGUAGGCGGCUUUGUAAGUUAGAGGUGAAAGCCUGGAGCUCAACUCCAGAACUGCCUUUAAGACUGCAUCGCUUGAAUCCAGGAGAGGUGAGUGGAAUUCCGAGUGUAGAGGUGAAAUUCGUAGAUAUUCGGAAGAACACCAGUGGCUAAGGCGGCUCACUGGACUGGUAUUGACGCUGAGGUGCGAAAGCGUGGGGAGCAAACAGGAUUAGAUACCCCGGUAGUCCCUGUCUCUUAUAC